rnacentral:rRNA from 1 species
CAGGCCUAACACAUGCAAGUCGAACGGCAGCACGGGUGCUUGCACCUGGUGGCGAGUGGCGAACGGGUGAGUAAUAUAUCGGAACGUACCUUAUUGUGGGGGAUAACGCAGCGAAAGCUGUACUAAUACCGCAUAAUCCCUAAGGGGGAAAGCGGGGGACCGUAAGGCCUCGCGCAAUUAGAGCGGCCGAUACCUGAUUAGCUAGUUGGUGAGGUAAAGGCUCACCAAGGCAACGAUCCAGUAGCUGGUCUGAGAGGACGAUCAGCCACACUGGGACUGAGACACGGCCCAGACUCCUACAGGAGGCAGCAGUGGGGAAUUUUGGACAAUGGGGGCAACCCUGAUCCAGCAAUGCCGCGUGAGUGAAGAAGGCCUUCGGGUUGUAAAGCUCUUUUGUCAGGGAAGAAACAGCAGCUCUAACACAGUUUGCGAAUGACGGUACCUGAAGA